GUUUCAUCAGUGCGCUGACAUCUCGCGAAUCGGAUGGAAGGACGUUCCACAACCGGGAGUGUAUGCCCCAUCCAUCGAGUCGAGAGAUGUCAUCGUCACGAUGUAAU